rnacentral:lncRNA from 1 species
GUGAGCGAGGAGUUCUUGCUGAAGGCCUUGCCGCACUCGCCGCACACGUAGGGCUUCUCGCCGGUGUGGUUCCUCUGGUGCAGGGUGAGCGAGGAGCUCUUGUUGAAGGCCUUGCCGCACUCCUUGCAGGCGUACGGCUUCUCCCCGGUGUGCGUGCGCUGGUGCUCGGUCAGGUGCAUGUUCUGGCUGAAGGCUCGCCCGCACUCGGGGCACACGUACGGCUUCUCCCCGGUGUGCGUGCGCUGGUGCACGAUGAGGUGCAUGUUCUGGCUGAAGGCCUUGCCGCAGUCCCCGCACGCGUAGGGCUUCUCCCCCGUGUGGAUCCGCUCGUGCUGGGUGAGAGAGGAAGUCUUCCGGAAGGCCUUGCCACACACGUCGCACACAUACGGCUUCUCGCCCGUGUGCGUGCGCUGGUGCACAGUGAGGUUCAUGCGCUGGCUGAAGGCCUUGCCGCAGUCCCCGCAGGCAUAGGGCUUCUCGCCCGUGUGCACCCGCUGGUGGAUGGUGAGGGACGAGCGCUCGAUGAAGUGCUUCCCACAGGUGUCACACUCAAACGGCUUUUCUCCCGUGUGGAUCCUUUGGUGCUUUAUCAGGGACGAGCUUCGGCUAAAGGCCUUGCCACACUCGCUGCAGUCGUAGGUUUUCUUCUCCUCGCAGGGCAUGGGGGGCUUACUGAGGUCUGAAGUGCUGGAGAAGUUCUUGCCACGCCUUACGGGUGGACAGGCCCCCUUUUCUGUGGGGUCGUCCAGCCGUGGUGGGACCAGGACACAGCCUUGGUUGGCAAAUGCCUUCAGUUCAUGACAUGCGGGUACUGAGCCCCCUAAGAGUUUGUUCCCCUGGGGAAUUCCCAAUGGCUCCCACUCUGCACCUGCAUCUCCCCGCGGCCUCUCUGGCCAGCUGCCUGGUUCCCACACUCCUUCUGAGCCAGGACCCCUGGCACCAUUCCUCGUGGGUCCCCCCGUGGCCUCCCCAACAACGGAGAGCUUGUCUUCCGAAAUGUCAUUCUUUGGAUCCAACUCUUUCAUUUCAGGUCUAGUCUCCCAGUCUG